UCAUCCUAGCAAAUAGGUGCAAGAUAAUGCUUUUGUUUUCAUCAGCAAUUGUUACUGAGGAAUGAGGAUGCUCAUUAAGAUAAGACAUGUAUUUUCUAGCACUGCUUUAAAUUUUGCACAACUAUUUCAUAAGCUGGAAUAAUGUAUGGACUUCAAGUAUCCCUCCAUACUUAAGAUUGGUUUUGAAGUAUUUUUCUUCUCUAUUAUCUUCUUUUUGGUGGGGCUCUUUUGUACUGUUUGCAAUAUCUAAAGGCAUGUUGUUAGAGAAUUAAAAGAAAUGCAGUUGAAACAGUAGGAAAGAUGGAUGUUGUUUUGGUGGAUCACUUUAUCUAUACAUACAUUGCUUGUUUAUUUUUGGCUUGCAGAAGUCAAAAUCCACUUGUGUAAGAAAAAAUAAAAUAAAAAGGGAAGUGUGAUUCAAUGAUUUACCUACCUGUUUUGUGCAACUAAGUCUUGGAGUUUUGUGGCAUGAGAGGAUAGACAUGCUGGGGUUAUACUGCAGAGAGGAUGGAUAUUGAAAGAAAGGACGAAAUGUGUUACAAGCACAGAGAGGAGAGAAGACAAAAUUCAAUGCUGCUAAUGACUGACUUCAUAAGAUGUUUUUGGAUUUUUAUACGAAGGAGGAGCUCCAUACUUUAUGCCUAGAAAAAAAGUAGUUGCACUUUCCAGCCACAUAUAUAAAUUUGGUAAAUUAGACUUAAAUUAUCAAAAUGCAUUACCC
rnacentral:lncRNA from 1 species